GACGAACGCUGGCGGCGUGCUUAACACAUGCAAGUCGAACGGAAAGGCCUGCUUUCCCUUGUGGAUUGCGGGUACUCGAGUGGCGAACGGGUGAGUAACACGUGAGUGAUCUGCCCCCAACUUGGGUAUAAGCCUGGGAAACUGGGUCUAAUUCCCGAUAGGACUGCAGGGUGGUGCCUGUGGUGGAAAACGAUUUUCUAGUGGUUGGGGAUGAGCUCGCGGCCUAUCAGCUUGUUGGUGGGGUAAUGGCCUACCAAGGCGGCGACGGGGAGCCGGCCUGAGAGGGUGGACGGCCACAUUGGGACUGAGUUACGGCCCAGACUCCGACGGGAGGCAGCAGUGGGGAAUAUUGCACAAUGGGCGGAAGCCUGAUGCAGCGACGCCGCGUGGGGGAUGACGGCCUUCGGGUUGUAAACUCCUUUCGACCGCGAGGAAGCCACCUGGUUGGAAGGGUGGUGACGGUAGUGGGAGAAGAAGCACCGGCUAACUACGUG
rnacentral:rRNA from 1 species